UGCCAGCAGCCGCGGUAAUACGGAGGGGGCAAACGUUGUUCGGAAUUACUGGGCGUAAAGCGCGCGUAGGCGGCGCAUCGAGUUAGGCGUGAAAGGCCUGGGCUUAACCUGGGAACUGCGCUUAAUACUGGUGAGCUAGAGUCCGGAAGGGGGUGGCGGAAUUCCCAGUGUAGAGGUGAAAUUCGUAGAUAUUGGGAAGAACACCGGUGGCGAAGGUGGCCACCUGGACCGGUACUGACGCUGAGGUGCGAAAGUGUGGGGAGCAAACAGGAUUAGAUA
rnacentral:rRNA from 1 species